AGAGUGAACGCUGGCGGUAGGCCUAACACAUGCAAGUCGAACGGCAGCACAGUGGUAGCAAUACCAUGGGUGGCGAGUGGCGGACGGGUGAGGAAUACAUCGGAAUCUACCUUUUCGUGGGGGAUAACGUAGGGAAACUUACGCUAAUACCGCAUACGCCCUUCGGGGGAAAGCCGGGAUCGCAAGACCUGGCGCGGAUAGAUGAGCCGAUGUCGGAUUAGCUAGUUGGUGAGGUAAUGGCUCACCAAGGCGACGAUCCGUAGCUGGUCUGAGAGGAUGAUCAGCCACACUGGAACUGAAGACACGGUCCAGACUUCCA
rnacentral:rRNA from 1 species